rnacentral:rRNA from 1 species
GACGGAGGGUGCUAGCGUUGUUCGGAAUUACUGGGCGUAAAGGGCGCGUAGGCGGCCCUGUCAGUCGGGUGUGAAAGCCCGGGGCUCAACCCCGGAACGGCACCCGAGACGGCAGGGCUGGAGACCGGGAGAGGAGGGUGGAAUAGCCAGUGUAGAGGUGAAAUUCGUAGAUAUUGGCUGGAACACCGGUGGCGAAGGCGGCAUCCUGGACCGACACUGACGCUGAGGCGCGAAAGCUAGGGUAGCAAACGGG